rnacentral:rRNA from 1 species
AGCAGCCGCGGUAAUUCCAGCUCCAAUAGCGUAUAUUAAAGUUGUUGCAGUUAAAAAGCUCGUAGUUGAAUUUCGGGGUUAGCAGGUCGGUCGUGCCAUCGGUAUGAACUGGUCUCGCUGAUCCCUCCCUCUUGACGAACUGUGAUGCCAUUAAUUUGGUGUCGCAGGGAAUCAGGACUGUUACUUUGAAAAAAUUAGAGUGUUUAAAGCAGGCUCACGCUUGAAUACAUUAGCAUGGAAUAAUGAAAUAGGACGUUUGAUCCUAUUUUGUUGGCUUCUAGGAUUGACGUAAUGAUUAAUAGGGAUAGUUGGGGGCAUUAGUAUUCAAUUGUCAGAGGUGAAAUUCUUGGAUUUAUUGAAGACUAACUACUGCGAAAGCAUUUGCCAAGGAUGUUUUCAUUAAUCAAGAACGGAAGUUAGGGGAUCGAAGACGAUCAGAUACCGUCGUAG